rnacentral:rRNA from 1 species
AUGUACAUGAAGGCGUUGGAAUGUGUGGUGCUUGGCGACAGCAAUGUCAAGUGCUUUUAUGUUUUCAUGGCUGUGAUGAAGGAGGUGUAUGCGACUCUGCUUCCGCUGAGUGUCGAUAAAGAUGGAAUGGAGCUUGCAGACAAAGAGAAACAGCAGCAGAUUGUAGCGGAAACCCAACAUGAAUCAGUAGAGGCAAAUGUUGUGCUGCAUAAAGAUACCGGUGAUGGUGAAUCAAGUUGCUCAGGUGUAGGUGUGAAUGAGAAGAAGAGGCAGAGGGGAAGUCUGACAACAAGCAGAGACAAGGCGCCUUACGAGCAACAGCUUAAGACGUCGCAGUUUUGCACAAUCUGCAGAGAGCAGGGACAAGUGUACAACUUGCCCACAACAAGGCGAUUUACCAAAGGCUCCAAGGAAAUCGCCAAAAUGCACACAUUGUGGGGUGGUUGGACAUCGGCGCAAUACUUGCGGCACUAA